rnacentral:misc_RNA from 1 species
AUACUGCCUCUCAUACCUGAGUUUUAAAAACCGAGAGAGAUAAGCCUACUCUGUUAAUUCAAUAAGAAUCUUUCUUCUUUACAAACAGAUUAACUAUAUUUCACCAAGCACAUGAAGGCAAACAUCUAUAACUAUUACAAUAUCCCUCUUCUGUUAUUGGUAGAAAAAUUUUCAAUUUUCAAGUAAGGCAUCAAAAAGUUCGGUAUCUUCACAUUGAGUUUCCUCAUUAAGCUAUGUAAUGAACUACAGAUCCUCAAAAAGUCAUGCUUGUAAGUAAAAUCAUUUUUUUUAGUACAUGCAACGUCAAACAAAUAUUCAACAUAGAAGACACUAUAAUGUGUCCAUCUAGGGGUGACCACAGUCCAGUUAGGUUCCAGGGCUAAGGGGGUCCGGAACCAGACUGAAGGGUCCCUCCGAUCCCAGUUCUAGUCUUGAUUCCGUUUUGGUUUAGUUCAAUCUAGUUUUGAUCAAAUCCAGCAGUUGAAAUUUUUUCAAAUUUAUUCUUUUUUAAAGUUCUGUGUUAGCACGAAAAGCAGACUGACCAGUUCGGUCUGGUUUCAG